UACGUAGGGCGCGAGCGUUGUCCGGAUUUAUUGGGCGUAAAGAGCUCGUAGGCGGCUUGUUGCGUCGACUGUGAAAACCCGCGGCUUAACUGCGGGCUUGCAGUUGAUACGGGCAGGCUAGAGUUCGGUAGGGGAGACUGGAAUUCCUGGUGUAGCGGUGAAAUGCGCAGAUAUCAGGAGGAACACCGGUGGCGAAGGCGGGUCUCUGGGCAUUAACUGACGCUGAGGAGCGAAAGCAUGGGGAGCGAACAGG
rnacentral:rRNA from 1 species